UACGUAGGGUGCGAGUGUUAAUCGGAAUUACUGGGCGUAAAGGGUGCGCAGGCGGUUCUGCAAGUCAGGCGUGAAAUCCCCGGGCUUAACCUGGGAAUGGCGCUUGAAACUACGGGACUGGAGUAUGGCAGAGGGAGGUGGAAUUCCACGUGUAGCGGUGAAAUGCGUAGAGAUCGGCAGGAACACCCAGGGGGAAACCAGUCGACUGGGCAGCACCUGACGCUGAGGUGCGAGAGCGUGGGGAGCGAACCGG
rnacentral:rRNA from 1 species